rnacentral:rRNA from 1 species
UACGUAGGGGGCAAGCGUUGUCCGGAAUCAUUGGGCGUAAAGAGCGUGUAGGCGGCCCGAUAAGUCCGCUGUGAAAGUCCAGGGCUCAACCCUGGAAUGCCGGUGGAUACUGUCGGGCUCGAAUCCGGAAGAGGUGAGUGGAAUUCCUGGUGUAGCGGUGAAAUGCGCAGAUAUCAGGAGGAACACCAGUUGCGAAGGCGGCUGACUGGACACAUAUUGACGCUGAGGCUCGAAAGCAUGGGGAGCAAACAGG